rnacentral:lncRNA from 1 species
ACUCUAGUCUUUCUUUUGAUUUUCCAGCUACUAGAUAUGAUUAAACCUGUAAUAAAUGGAGUGAAGCCUCUAUAUUACAUUCUCCAGGGAGUUUUUUGUGGUAAUUUAUUAAAUAAAAAGAUAAAUUCUGUUGGGCUAAUAUAUUUGUUUUAAUUGAGCUUUGAGGGUGUUGUACAUUUGAAUGACUUUUACCCAGUAGAUACUGAAAUAUGUUUUUUAAUUAUAAGUUUGGUGUACAUAUGUGGGAAACCAGCAAAGUUCCAUAUAGUAUAGUCUUGGCUUAGUGAGAUAAAAGUUAUAGAAGAGGACAUUGGAAAUCUAGCCACACUGUGGCUAAUAGGCUUGGUUCUCUGAAAUAAAAGUAUAAUUCAGGGCCAAUAAUGUGGAAGGCAUUGAGAAGCAUAUCCACCAAGGAGCAACAUUAUGGUCAUUUUGUCUUUGUUAUUACUUACUGCUUUAUUCUGAGAACAAUACAGGCAUUAAAGUUCUAGAAGCUUCACAGAUCAUUAAUCAUCAACAUAAAUUCAGUGAAUUAGAAUUCUUUCUUCAAAAGUAUGUGUCAACUUCAGAUUGCAGAUUUGCCAAAGCUUCAUGUAGAGCCCUUCUCUCUUUUAUCACGAGUAAAAGUUCAGGUUUAAAAUAGAACAACGGAUGACUAAUGCCAUUUCCAGCUGUGACUGAAUUCUCCACUGCCUGAUGCUUUUCAAAUGUAUCUGAAUCAGAAUCGAACACCCACUUUAUGCAUAGCUCCCUAAUCAGGAAGUUAUUCUUCCCAUCAAAGCAACUGGAAAGAAAAAAGAUAAAACAAUGAAGGGAGGAGAAAACACAAAAGUUCAAGAAGAGCAGAAUGUUCCGGCAAGGAGAAAAAGCUGGGAAAAGUCACCAAUGAAUGCCAGGGUUCACCACUAUCUUAGGAAUAUCAUGAAUAAAGCGUUAGAUUGGGUGUGCCCUAACUGAUGGUCACAAGCAUGAUACUAAUUAUCAGGGUGAACAAAGCAGGGGAGUAAGAGCAUCAGUAACUGUGAAACUCUAGGAGUUUGUCUUCAUUCUUUCAGUGAUAGACAGGGUCUCACACUGUCACUUAGGCUGGAGCACAGUGUGACAACAGCUGACUGCAGCCUCAAACUCCUGGUCUUAAGUGAUUCUUCCCACCUCGGCCUCCUGAGUAGCUGGAAUUACAGGCAUGAGCCACGGCAUCCAGCCAUAAACUCUUUUGUCACCAUUUUUCUAGAGUCAAUAUCUAGCAUUUGUAUUUCGUACAUCAUACACUUGAGUUAGUAUCUGUGGAAAGGAUAAAUACAUAAGGAAAAGAGAUGCAGGAAGCUGCAGAGACACUGGCCAUUUAUCUGAGAAGUGCCCAAUGAGGCAUCACCGGAUAAGCACACGUCGGGUCGUUCUCCUGCUUCAGUAAGGUCUGUGGCGUUGACAUUAUCAAUGCUAUGGAUGCCUCAAGGCUCUCAUAAAAAUACAUGGCUUCAGCAAUACGCAUGCAGUUAUCUCAGUUUAAAGCAGCCACUAAUCUCAAUUGAAUGCAGCUGUGAAUGCAAAUUGACUGAUGUUAACAGAACUGCUCUGAGAGUUCUCAAAUAAUAUGAGGGUGCAUAGUGUGGAAGGCAGUCACUAAGUUUGGUCUAAUGGAGACCACAUACGAAGAUCUAAUUCAACACCAUGAGUUACCCCCAGAAGUUAAAUAGGUCCCUAAUUCAGCCUGCUGCAUAAGGUUGUAUCAUAAAAGAGAAAUGGGUUCUGCUCCCUGCUUAAUAAGAAAUCCUGCUUACUUCUCCAGCUUUUGAAGCACAGAUUAUUUUUCUUCUCUUCAUCAUAUAAAAAUGGAAAUUAUCAAAACAAAACAUCAUCAAAACAAAACAUCAUCAAAAACAGGUUGCUCUCUGAGUAAAGGUUUUAUGUUUGUUUGGGAUAGAAUCUCAUUCUGUCACCCAGGCCAGAGAGCACUGACAUUAUCAUGGCUCACUGCAACCUCAAACUCCCAAGCUCAAGCGAUCCUCCCACCUCAGCCUCCCAAGUAGCUGGGACCACAGAUUCACCUGUUUGCUUCCUAAGACAGAAAAUAAAUAGGAGGAAAAGGAUCAGAGUCAAAAUUCUGAUAGGCCGCUCCAUUGGGAAGUCAAGACGGUAUCUUAAGUGCUGUAUUCCACUCGAUGCUCUAUUUUCCUGCUUGCUGCAGUAACUGUGGUUUCAUACAGAGUAUUAGAACUACCAGCAGCCUGAUGGUCUUAAGCCUGGGUGCACAGGAAGGAGGACCAGUGGCCUGUGAAGAGUCAUUAAGGGGGCUGAUGCAUAAAUAUUCAAGCCUGUGACCCACCAUUCCACCUCACACAAGCCCCCUGCUAACUGCCAGUCCUGUUGUAGUUUUCUGGAAUCCAUAUAACCUGUUAUUU